GACGAACGCUGGCGGCGUGCUUAACACAUGCAAGUCGAACGGUGAACCUCUUCGGAGGGGCUCAGUGGCGAACGGGUGAGUAACACGUGGGCAACCUGCCCCCGGCUCUGGGAUAACUCCAAGAAAUUGGGGCUAAUACCGGAUGUUCACCGCUUCCCGCAUGGGUGGUGGUGAAAAGGGUUUCCGGCUGGGGAUGGGCCCGCGGCCUAUCAGCUUGUUGGUGGGGUAGUGGCCUACCAAGGCGACGACGGGUAGGCGGCCUGGGAAGGUGACCGGGCACCAGAGGCCUACGGGACGGAGCAGAAGGGAAUGGGAGGCAAUGGGGGGAAGCAUGACGCAGCGGGGCCGAGCCCGAGACGAAGGCGUCGGGUGGGUGAUGACGGCCUUCGGGUGGUGAACCUCUUUCUGCAGAGACGAGGCGGAAGUGACGGUACCUGCAGAAGAAGCACCGGCCAACUACGUG
rnacentral:rRNA from 1 species